GUGGCAGGUGGAACUUUAAAUGAGGAGGACGGGCUCAUAGUAAUGGCUGGAGGUGGCAGGUGGAACUUUAAAUGGGGAGGACGGGCUCAUAGUAAUGGCUGGAGGUGGCAGGUGGAACUUUAAAUGGGGAGGACGGGCUCAUAGUAAUGGCUGGAGGUGGCAGGUGGAACUUUAAAUGGGGAGGACGGGCUCAUAGUAAUGGCUGGAGGUGGCAGGUGGAACUUUAAAUGGGGAGGACGGGCUCAUAGUAAUGGCUGGAGGUGGCAGGUGGAACUUUAAAUGGGGAGGACGGGCUCAUAGUAAUGGCUGGAGGUGGCAGGUGGAACUUUAAAUGGGGAGGACGGGCUCAUAGUAAUGGCUGGAGGUGGCAGGUGGAACUUUAAAUGGGGAGGACGGGCUCAUAGUAAUGGCUGGAGGUGGCAGGUGGAACUUUAAAUGGGGAGGACGGGCUCAUAGUAAUGGCUGGAGGUGGCAGGUGGAACUUUAAAUGGGGAGGACGGGCUCAUAGUAAUGGCUGGAGGUGGCAGGUGGAACUUUAAAUGGGGAGGACGGGCUCAUAGUAAUGGCUGGAGGUGGCAGGUGGAACUUUAAAUGGGGAGGACGGGCUCAUAGUAAUGGCUGGAGCGGAAUGGAUGGAAGGGUCUCAAAUACAUGAAACAUCUAGUUUCCAUGUCUACCAUUCCAUUUAA